UUAUUCUUAAAGUUAGAGAAGGAAAUGGCACAUUUCAAAGUCGGCAUUUAGACCAUUUGGAAUCAGACAAUUUAGUUUGAAUAUCCAUUCCAUCUCUACUUUACUCAAUUUUUGGUUAAAAUCUCCUCCCCUCCAAUCUUUAGUUACUUUUUUAAUUCCUAAAAACAUAGUACCCUUUAAUUCACAGUCAUGAUAAUUUUUAUAAUGCAGAGACACACUGUGUUUCUCGAAUCCUUUACUUAUAUUACGGCCAUGUUCCUCUAUUCUUAUAUGCAAUGGUCUAGUGGUUUUUCCUAUGUAAUUUAAACCACAGGGACAUCUUAUGAGGUAGAUAAAAAAUUUUGAGUGGCACGUAAUAAACUCUUUAAUUUGGUAUUCUACACCUUCAUUAGUUCCAAAUUUUUUAAUUUGUCGUUUUUUUAUUAUUAGUUCUUUUACAGGCUAAGCAUUGUCCGCAUCCAUAAAACCCAUUCUCUGAAUUAAAAAAUGUUGUAUUAUUUUUAGGUUUUUCUUUUAUAUAGCUGGAUGUUAGGGAAUCUUUUAGGUUAUUAAUU